AGAUACUGCAGCAGUAUUGGAGCCACUGGCAGUAAACCGGAGACAAAACCCAGGAGUUAGGGAAAAGCCUGUAAAAUUCCAUAAUGGUCAUUUUGUCCCUUCCCAAACCCUUCGGGGGAUUUACUGCACGACUGGCCCCUGUGGAGUGAUGCUGGUGGUGGUCGGGGUGGGCUCCUGGCUCUGCAUUGGUGCCAUUGGUGGCUCCCUGGUGUGUGUGGGGGGAUUGUAUGAGAUGCUGGGGUGGAAGAGAGCUGCUGGGCAGUGGGGAUAAAUGGAACAGGAAGCAACUGCAUUGGGUAUUGGGAAGCAUGGAUGGAUCCCAUGUGGAAAGCGUGUGGCUGUUUGGAACUGCAUGGAGGGGUGCUGGGCACUGCUCGGUCACCACUGGCUGCGGAGGGGGAAACAGGAUAGCAAGUGUCAUCUAACGCUGCCUAGGGCAGGGUGCAGGUAGAGCCCCACCUGAGCUCCAGCCCUGUCUGCUGGGAUGGGUUCUCUGUGCUGCUGCCUCCGCAGCAGAGUAAACCAGGAGCAUGGGGGUUCUUUAGGAAUUUACCCCAAGGGAGCUGGUGGUUCCUUGGAGCACCAGGGGUGAGUGUGCUGGUGCUCAAGCCUCUCCUGUGGACCUUUGUGUUGCCACAAGCAGCCAUGUAGCUCCUGAACAUUCAGUUCCUAAAAAUGAGCGUAGUUAUUGCAAAUGAUGUCUGUUGGAAGUAAACGUUAACUAGUAUUAAUUAACUGUUAUGUUUGUUUUGUACUGUGAUGGGACAUCAGUCACGCAGUUUGUCACAGCUCAAGGCCUCCCAAGGCCAACAAUCGAGGACAUGUGGUGGAGUGACCACAGGUCCACUGAAUCCCAGGGAAUCUCUAAAGGACAGGCUUUUUGAGCAAAGGAGCAGGUGCCAUGGAAGCCCUGGCCAGCUGUGUGCACAUCUGGAGCAAGGUCUGGCAGAGGUGGUGGUAUAAGGCGUGCCCAAGGCGCUGUGCCCUCCAGAAUAAGCACAGUGCAAGGUUUCAUUUUGAAAAUGCUUUAAUAAGGAAGUGUUGACAACACCGUUCUGCAAAAUGUAAAGGUAACUAUACAAAUUCUUAAUACAAAAAGAAUAAAUUAAAAGCAGAUCUGUUUUAAUUCUGCAACUUUUUCUACAA